GUCCGAAAUCGCGUACUUCCAUACUAUAUAGUAUGCGAAAAACAGUACGCGAGCAGAGUAGUAUGUCCGAAUUCAUAGAAUUCGAAAAACAGUAGGCGAGAAGUACCCGGAUGGCCUACUACUUCCGGCGAGAUUCUGAAGUGCGCAUACGAUGGACACUUUACUAUCCCAUGAUGCCACGGGAGAGGAGGAGUUGUCGUUAUAUUUGAAAAUGCCGGAAACCGGAGACGCGGGAGUUUUCCACUGUAUAUGGAGUUUUCAAGUGUAAGUACUAUAUUAAACACUUUUUGUUUAUUUGUGGUGAAAUUGUGUUUGUUUAACAUCAUAUAAGUAAACGAUUGACUUGUUAAACGUUUAAAUAAUGUAAAUCGCGGGUGCAAUUUUCCGAUUUGGCUGCAAAAUGACACUUUUGUCUUUGCCAUUAUUACCGAACUGAACGAGCUAAUGCAUGUCAGCUAACGUUAGAUAACUUUGUUUUCUUUGUUUCGCAGUUGAAUGAGAUGCUUACACAACUUUUAUUUAUUUUAAUUUUAAAACGAUUAGGAAAAUCAGGUGGAAAUUAGCACUUAAGUGCUACAACCUGCAAAUGCAUCUCUCCUUUUUAAGGCAUGUUUACAAGACGAGGCAAGGAUACCCACCAUCUCCAAGGAUGCACUAUCCUGCAGAUGGAAACAGGCGGCCAGUGCACACAGGGCUGUUCUUCAGCACCCGGGCAUCGUGCACCGACCCAAGAUACCCAACAAAAAUGUCGAGGAACUUCCCCUUGUGGUCAGUGAUGGCCUGCAGCUGAAAAUAAUUAAACAGCUUUCUGGUUGAAGUAGCACUGGACGUCACUUGCUAGUGGUUUGAUGCGGAUGUGACAGCCAUCUAUUGCACCAGCUACUACACUGACAGCUGGAGACCCUGCCAGCUGGGUAAAACCUGCUCCCACUGCCUCCUGGUCAUCUGCACUGGGGAAAGCGAUAACCUGUCUCAAAGUGCCGGUGACUGCCUUGCUCAUUCUGUGCAUAAUGUCGUGCACAGCAGACUACGGGAUGUCUUUGACGAGUGAUGCUACCCGGUAUGAUGCUGCAUGGGCCAGCCAGUAAAGGAACACCAGCACCUCGACGUCCUUUUCCCACCCAUGGUCGCAAUCUGCUUUCACUACAGCAAUCAGGGACUGGAUGGACUGCCGUGAAAGUCGGGAGGCUGCUGUGCCAAUUCUUCGGCUGUACUUUGAAGAUGGAGCUGACCUCCACCCCGGUCCGCUCCUCCACCCCGGCCGAAGGAUUGGCACAGCAGCAUUCACGUGGCAGUAGGUUGUAGGGCUCACAAUCUGUAAACAUUUAUAUAGUUUUAAUAUAAAAUACAAUUUGAAUCAA